rfam:Loxodonta africana unplaced genomic scaffold scaffold_308, whole genome shotgun sequence.
GGUUCCAUGGUGUAAUGGCGAGCACUCUGGGCUCUGAAUCCAGGGAUCCGAGUUCAAGUCUCGGUGGGACCU